rnacentral:tRNA from 1 species
CCUGGGAUGUUGGUUUGACCUCUCUCGGAAG